GUUUAGUGUUCAUUGAUUUGAUAGUAUAGAGUCAUUUAAUGAUGGCUACUGUUUCUAUGUUGAUAUAAUCCUAUUUAAUUUCCCAGGCUAGGGAAAAGACAACCAACUUCCAUCAGUGAAUGUGUCCUGUCUAGUGGAAACAUUCCUAGAACUCAUCCUGUCAAAUUUAUGAAUGGAAUACUUUUUGUCCUGUGCAUGGGGAACACAUACUAUGUUCUUGACUUUGUAUAUUUCUAAUGAAAUUUGGCAAAUACCCAGAAGUUGUACAUGGUUUUGUGCAAAAAUUGUAUUACACUUCCACACCCUGUGAAUUGGCCAUAUAUUGGCUUAGAAAAGGGAAUGUUGAGCAUAUACCUGAAAUUUAGUAAGCACUGUGAAAGGUAAGGUUUUUAGAUGAAAACUCUUGCUGUACAGAUAGAAAUCCAAGUAGGAUAAGCAGUAGGAGUAAUUUCCAUAGCCCUGCUGCUGUUGAAAAGCCUGUCAAGGGCUCUGGUCUUCCCUAUUGUUCUCUCCUCACCCAUGUGAUUGUGUUCUAUGCUUCAGAUCUCUGUGUUGUGAAGCCUCAGAAAAAGCAGAUUCAAAAUUUGGAAUGAUUCUCUUGACUACAUCUAGGAAGCUUGCUGACAUUCAUAUAGCACGAACAGGGACUCUUUGUCUGAAAUGAGUUUGUCCUGGCCCUGAGAUAGCAAGGACAUAAGUGGUUGAGUUUUUUUCUUGGCUCAAAUACACAUAAAGAACCUACCAUUGGCAGACACUUGGCCUCCAAAUUGGGAGAAAGUACAGUCAUAACUUGCAGCCCACUUUAGCUUCCAUUGUUCUCAGGAAGUGUCAAGCCCUCCAUGCCCUUAGAGAUGAGGGGCACAUAAUGUUACAUUUCACACAAUUCUGGACUUCUGUAUGUAUGAAAUCCUCCAGCCAGAUGUUAAAGAGGAGUGGAUACAUGGAAAAGGCUUAGUGGACAUUGGGCCAUGAGGGAGUAGUCCUGUUUUAAGUGUGGGUUAUUUGUGUGAUUGCUAUAACUGACAGCUGGAUAAAACUCAGGAUCCAUGCUGAUUGAAUCUCAGCAGUGAACCAAAUUCUGAGGCUAACCCAUUCAAAACAUUGCAGUGGAUUUUGUUGGGAUUUUAGAUACCCAAGCAUCAGAGGUGUCCUUGGGAACUUAAAGCUAGGCCAAGUGUGGAUUUCUCCACAACAUUAGAAAUAUCAGCCAGAAUUUCACACCACUUUUCUCUGUAAAGCCUUAUCUGGAAAUGUUGGGAGCCUGAAACACAUAUGUGCCUCACAUAUUAGACCCAUUUUCCUGUUGAAUAUGACCUCUUGGUCACUGUUUGGGAAGCUCUUGCUGCUUGUGUUCCCUAUAGAUUCCAGCUAAAGGAGAUUCCUUGCCAUUCAGGGGCCUCUGUAUCACUCCAGACCCCACAGCACCACUUAAUCCAUUUUGAAAUAUGGCUAUACCUAUACCUUGAAAUUUUUUAAGUUCCCUGGACGAUGAAUCACAGGAAUUUCUUAGAACCCCCUUUGCUCAACAUGAUUGAAUCAGAGGUAAACUUCAUUGUCCAGAACUCACUAAAAUGCUACAGAAC
rnacentral:lncRNA from 1 species